rnacentral:rRNA from 1 species
CUCGGGAGGAAGGUGGGAUGACGUCAAAUCAUCAUGCCCCUUAUGUCUUGGGCUUCACGCAUGCUACAAGUGGCCGGUACAAAGGGCUGCGAUACCGCGAGGUGGAGCGAACUACCCAGAAAGCCGGUCUCAGUUCGGAUUGGGGUCUGCAACUCGACCCCAUGAAGUCGGAGUCGCUAGUAAUCGCAGAUCAGCAACGCUGCGGUGAAUACGUUCCCGGGCCUU